CGGAAGAGUUUUUUAAUGAUAAAUGAAAAUAACAUUACUGGGAUGGAGAGUUGUCUCAUUGGCACUCAUACCACAUCUUCUUAUAUCAUUUCACCUGUAAUUUACCUGUUAUUUACCUGUAAAAAAAAUCGGCGCAAAUGAAAAAAAAAUCGGCGCAAAUGAAAGAAAAAAUCGGCGCAAAUGAAAUGCAAAUCGGCGCAAAUGCAAAACGCCG
rnacentral:lncRNA from 1 species